rnacentral:rRNA from 1 species
UACGUAGGGUGCGAGCGUUGUCCGGAAUUACUGGGCGUAAAGAGCUCGUAGGUGGUUUGUCGCGUCGUCUGUGAAAUUCCGGGGCUUAACCUCGGGCGUGCAGGCGAUACGGGCAAUACUUGAGUGCUGUAGGGGAGACUGGAAUUCCUGGUGUAGCGGUGGAAUGCGCAGAUAUCAGGAGGAACACCGGUGGCGAAGGCGGGUCUCUGGGCCUUACCUGACGCUGAGGAGCGAAAGCAUGGGUAGCCAACAGGAUUAGAUACCCCGGUAGU